UUGUGUUAGUGUGUGUUGUGUGUGUGUUUUAAAGAAGAAGAAAGAAUAUGGGUUGGGCCCAAUUUUGGGCCGAUUUAAAUGACUGGGCCGAUUUUAUUUCAUUUGGGCUGUGUGUUAUUUUCAUAAAAUGAACUUUUUACUUAUUUGUUUGGCCCAAAAUGAUAUGAUUCCAUUCAUAUAAUUGCAUAAUUAUAUUUGACUAAUUAAACUCUAAUAGAGUUUGAUUAAUUAUAUUAAAGGUGAUUUGCAUAAUAUUAUUAUUUUAUGCAUAUUUAUUGAGUGUAAUUAUUUAUUAUAUGAUUUAAAGCAUGAAAGAAAUUUGCAUUAAACAUUUUGCAAAUAAAACAACGAUUGUUUUAAUUGGUUUAUAUUUAUAAAUCCAAUUAUUAAAGUAAAUCGAGUAAGGAUAUUGUUGGUGUCCUUAACUCAAGAAUUUCAGUUUUCAAAUAUUUAUUUAUUAAAUUUUGAAAACCCGGCUAAGUGAAUCAUAGAAUGUUAAGCACUUUACUAAGACUUAAGAUUAGAUUCAGGAGACCUAUUAAGAUUAUAGAUUUCUUGUAGGCUUUGUGGAUCGUGAGGACUUGCGCAACUAUUCCGAUUCAGAGAUUAGAUAAACGACAGGCAUUGCCUAUUCAGGUUGAUGGCUGGUGCUGACGGGGAGAGCUGAGGCUAGGGUUCAACUCCGUGUUUUGACUUCCGCUGUAGUACUAGCCUUUAUUUGUCUUUCGUUUCCUUGACUUAAGACUUUUAUGUUAUGACUCUAAAUGAUAUCUUUUGAUGAGCUUAGACUCUUGACUCUUACGUAUUUCGAUUAAUGAAUGUUGGUUAUCCGAGGCAUGAAACUAAACUUGUGAUCC